rnacentral:rRNA from 1 species
CGAACGCUGGCGGCGUGCUUAACACAUGCAAGUCGAACGGAAAGGCCCUGCUUUUGUGGGGUGCUCGAGUGGCGAACGGGUGAGUAACACGUGAGUAACCUGCCCUUGACUUUGGGAUAACUUCAGGAAACUGGGGCUAAUACCGGAUAGGAGCUCCUGCUGCAUGGUGGGGGUUGGAAAGUUUCGGCGGUUGGGGAUGGACUCGCGGCUUAUCAGCUUGUUGGUGGGGUAGUGGCUUACCAAGGCUUUGACGGGUAGCCGGCCUGAGAGGGUGACCGGCCACAUUGGGGCUGAGAUACGGCCCAGACUCCUACGGGAGGCAGCAGUGGGGAAUAUUGCACAAUGGGCGGAAGCCUGAUGCAGCAACGCCGCGUGCGGGAUGACGGCCUUCGGGUUGUAAACCGCUUUCGCCUGUGACGAAGCGUGAGUGACGGUAAUGGGUAAAGAAGCACCGGCUAACUACGUG